rnacentral:lncRNA from 1 species
CUCAGGCCAUGGCCUGACCUCAGCGACGUCACCGUGCUCUCCAAAGGCUGCACAGGAUCCCCACUUCUCAAAUACCACCAACAGGGAAGUCAAAACUAAGCAGAACAAAACUUAUCUCAUACUUCGAGCUCCAAAGCCCACUGAAGGCUGGAACUUGGAAUUGCCUCCAGCUUAGCCCCCUUGGUGAAAAGUGUGCUAGCACAUUUAGAAAAUCUCUUCUCGCUUGUCGAAAUUGUGAAAGAAGGCCCAGCUUAUGGCUAUUUCUAAGUGGGCCCCGACGCCGCAGCUAGAGGCAUCCUCCAGAGACACCUGGAAGCUGCCCCUUGCCAAUUAGGAAUGGACCUGAAACACGUUUUUUCAUUUCAGGAAGAAGCCAGAGCAGAUACAAAAGUUCCAAUUGAACCCUCGAUGGUUUUACCAUCAGUCGGUGAAGCAUCCACCAUGCGAGGACACUUGCAUUUCUCCUGGCCCCCCAAGAAGAAAGGCCCCUCCGCUCCAGAGUACUCAGAGACCACACAGCAGAACCUCCCUGACACCUGCUUUUCUCAUAGUCCCUGUGCUUCCCAAGGCCGCAAGCAGUGCACACAGCAGGAAACCACGAAGCAACUGCACAUAGGAAAUCAGAAUUCCCAAAUAUUCCUGGGGGUUUCUUCCUCCCUACUUUUUCGCCUGUGUUGUUUUCAGUUUUUCAGCACUCAAUCAUCAUUCCAUCCCGCAGCACACGAACCUGUUCUGUGAGCAUUCCCACCCCGACUGCCCCGCAG